rnacentral:ncRNA from 1 species
UACAAUCCUUGUGGAGACGAUAACUUGAUACUUACUUAUUACUUGAUAACGACUGUGUACACUUGUACAAACCUACGCAUUAUAGAGGGCAACUUUGGUGCCAGCAGCUGCGGUAAUUCCAGCUCCAAUAGCAUAUAUUUAAGUUAUUACAGUUAAAAGCUCGUAAUUGGACUUAAGGUUGGGUCAGUUGGUUCGCCUUACGGUGAGCAUCAAUUUUCUCGUCUCUACUACCGACGAUGCACUCCUAGCCUUAAUUGGUCGAGUCGUUCCUCUAGCAUUGUCACUUUGAAGAAAUUAGAGUACUCAAUACAAGCCUACGGCUGUAUCCAUUAGCAUGGGAUAACAUCAUAGGAUUUUGAUCCUAUUGUGUCAGCCUUUGGAAUUGGAGUAAUGAUUAACAGAGACAGUUGGGGGCAUUCGUAUUUCAUAGUCAGAGGUGAAAUUCUUGGUUUUAUGAAAGACGAAUAACUACAAAAGCAUUUGCCAAUGAUGUUUUCGUUAAUCAAGAAUGAAUGUUGGGGCCUCGAAGGUGAUCUAAUACCGUCCUAGUGUCAACCAUAAAUGAUGUCAACCAAGGAUCAGCGGAUGUUGCUUUUAGGACUCCACUAGCACCUCAUGAGAAAUCAAAGUCUUUGGGCUCUGGGGGAGCAUGGUCGCAAAACUUAAAAGAAUUGACGGAAGGGCACCACUAGGAGUAGAGCCUACAGCUUAAUUUGACUCAACAGGAGGAAACUUAACAGGUCCAGACAUAGUAAGAAUUGACAAAUUGAGAGCUCUUUCUUGAUUCUAUGGGUGGUGGUGCAUGGCCGUUCUUAGUUGGUGGAGCGAUUUUUCUAGUUAAUUCUGUUAAAGAACAAGACCUCAGCCUGCUAACUAGCUACACUGAAGUGAUUCUCCACAGCUAGCUUUUUAAAGGGACUAUGGCCUUUUAGGCCAAGGAAGUUUGAGGCAAUAGUAGGUCUGUUAUGCCCUUAUAUGUUCUGGGCCACAUGCGUGCUACACUGAUGUAUUCAAUGAGUCUAUACCUUUGGCCACAGGCCGGAGAAAUCUUUGAAAUUUCAUCGUGAUAGGGAUAGAUCAUUGCAAUUAUUGGUCUUCAACGAGAAAUUCCUAGUAAGUGUGAGUCAUCAGCUAGCGAUGACUAUGUCCUUACCCUUUGUACAUAUCACCUGUUACUCUUACCAAUUGAACGGUCCAAUGAAGCUUUUGGAUCGCGGUGACGUAGACGAUUUGCUACCCACGACGUCACAAGAAGUUCACUAAAUCUUAUCAUUUAGUGGAAGGAUAAGUCAUAACAAGGUUUCCCAACAAGCCAAGC